GACGAAUGCUGGCUGCGUGCUUAACACAUGCAAGUCGAACGGUGAAGGAGGGCUUGCCCUCCGGAUCAGUGGCGAACGGGUGAGUAACACGUGGGCAACCUGCCCCUCACUCUGGGAUAACGCCGGGAAACCGGCGCUAAUACCGGAUACGACCAGGCGCGACAUCUCGCCUGGUGGAAAGAAUUUCGGUGAGGGAUGGGCCCGCGGCCUAUCAGCUAGUUGGUGGGGUAACGGCCCACCAAGGCGACGACGGGUAGCCGGCCUGAGAGGGCGACCGGCCACACUGGGACUGAGACACGGCCCAGACUCCUACGGGAGGCAGCAGUGGGGAGUAUUGGACAAUGGGGGCAACCCUGAUCCAGCAAUGCCGCGUGGGUGAUGAAGGCCUUCGGGUUGUAAAGCCCUUUCGGCGGGGACGAUGAUGACGGUACCCGCAGAAGAGGCCCCGGCUAACUUCGUGCCAGCCGCCGCCGUAACAC
rnacentral:rRNA from 1 species